AGAUAAUUGGAAAUACUUUAUAAGACUCACAGGGAUUGAUACAGGAAUUAAAACUUCAGACAGGAAAACCAAGGUUAGUAACUCUGUUCUCACAAAUGAACCAUUAUUAUUACUGAUCCAUAACCUGUCUGAAAAUAGUAAAUUCUAGGGGACAAUGUAAUGACUCUGUCACUUGGAUUUUUCAUGACACAAAGCUCAAAUAGCACCAAAUAUAAACCACUGUUCUCUUUAUUUUUUCAUAAAAAGCUGGAUUUACUAUUUCUGACAACUGCACAGUGACUUUUAGUUUGUUCAUGUUCCUGGCAUCACAAAUCUGAAAUACAAUUUCAUUCCUCAAGAACAUAUACUCUGAAAAGUGAUUAGGUUUGUUUUUUUAAUCAAUCAUCCUACAUAUAGGGCAUCUUAAAAAUCUUUGCUAAGCAACAUAUAGCUUUAUAUUUUUUAAUCUCUGCAUAAAAAUGAAAAAAAAAACAAAUCAAGGCAUACAAAUUUCAUUUUUUCCUAUAUUUGAAACACUAUCUUUUAUUUCCUUUAACAGAUUUUCAUAUCCAUUGCAAAAUAUUUUGAAGCUCAACUGCCCAUUUAAGGCAGAACGAAGGAAUUCUAGAGUAUCUGAACUAGGCACCGUCUUCCCUGAACUGAACCAACAAUUCUAUCAGGGUCCUCCUGGGCUUCCCGGCCAUGCCUUCCCGCAGAUAUGAAAUCUCAUCCCUGUUAGUCAUCACACCUGCUGUAUCUAAAUGCCCCCCUUCGGAUGAGUCACAAAUGCUUUCCGGAACGCUGCGCCUGGGCAUGCUGCGGCAGAUCUAUACUUUCCGAUGUAU